rnacentral:lncRNA from 1 species
GGUAUAGAAUGAGAGUGGCGCGAAAGGAGGGGAGGUGGUAUCGACUUGAUUAUCUGGAGCAAUAACAUCGGCAAAUUGUCCAAUUGAUCACGAUCGAAACGAGGAACUUGAAUUCAGGGAAUCAGUAUUAUUAUAUUUUUACAACUAACGAAAGAAAAGAAACUUUAUCAAGUGUUUAUUCAUCUGUGGCGCAUUACACCUUACCGGAGUCAUCGCUGCAUCGAACGUGCGCUGAUUGUGAGUGAGCGAAAAUGAAAAGUUGAAAAUAUCUAAUCGCAGUACGUGACCGCAGGUCUUUGUCUUUGCGAAACAUCUUGCCUCGACACCUGAAAAACAAUAUACCGAACACUGGAUUGACUCGCUUCGGAGCGCAUGGAUAUCGAGGAUCUGUAUCGAUCGACGACAGGAGUUGAACAAACAUGCGCCGAAAGGAACCCAAUUCAUUCCUAGCUAUUGCAGCACGAUAAGUAUCAAAACGGAAUUUUUUCGUUACAUUUCGACGCCCUGUUUGGCCUCGUGCUACGUUUUAUUAUGCAAUUACGGAUGAACAACGAAGUAUCAUACGAUAAACAAGAGUUGAGCCAAGGACCGCACGGCGUGGCUGCAGCCGAUCCUGGGCGCGCGGUGUGGAUGUUGCAGGGUAUCGAGGAAUAUACGACAGAUCUAGUUUCGCGGUCCGACACUCACUGGGAGAAGAACGGGCGAUUUUUUUAAACCCCGCCAGGCUGCCAUUGAAAAACGUGCCCAGCGUAUGUAAUACCUACACAACUGUA